UAUUGGACAAUGGGCGCAAGCCUGAUCCAGCCAUGCCGCGUGAGUGAUGAAGGUCCUCGGGUUGUAACGCUCUUUCAACGGUGAACAUAAUGACGGUAACCGUAGAAUAAUCCCCGGCUAACUACGUCCCAGCAGCCGCGGUAAGUCGAAGGGGGCUAGCGUUGUUCGGAAUUACUGGGCGUAAAGCGCACGUAGGCGGAUUGGUCAGUUAGGGGUGAAAUCCCAGGGCUCAACCCUGGAACUGCCUUUAAUACUGCCGGUCUAGAGUUCGAGAGAGGUGAGUGGAAUUCCGAGUGUAGAGGUGAAAUUCGUAGAUAUUCGGAGGAACACCAGUGGCGAAGGCGGCUCACUGGCUCGAUACUGACGCUGAGGUGCGAAAGCGUGGGGAGCAAAC
rnacentral:rRNA from 1 species